GACGAACGCUGGCGGCGUGCUUAACACAUGCAAGUCGAACGGUAAGGCCCUUCGGGGUACACGAGUGGCGAACGGGUGAGUAACACGUGGGUGAUCUGCCCUGCACUUCGGGAUAAGCCUGGGAAACUGGGUCUAAUACCGGAUAGGACCACUGCCUUCAGGGGCGGUGGUGGAAAGCUUUUGCGGUGUGGGAUGGGCCCGCGGCCUAUCAGCUUGUUGGGGGGGUGAUGGCCUACCAAGGCGACGACGGGUAGCCGGCCUGAGAGGGUGACCGGCCACACUGGGACUGAGAUACGGCCCAGACUCCUACGGGAGGCAGCAGUGGGGAAUAUUGCACAAUGGGCGCAAGCCUGAUGCAGCGACGCCGCGUGAGGGAUGACGGCCUUCGGGUUGUAAACCUCUUUCAGUAGGGACGAAGCGCAAGUGACGGUAGGUGCAGAAGAAGGACCGGCCAACUACGUGCCAGCAGCCGCCGUAA
rnacentral:rRNA from 1 species